UUCCAAACAAACAGCAUGUAAUGACAACAAAAAUUAAAACUUUUUUGAGGAAUAAUUGUGAUCAGUGUUUACAUGAAUUAAGCCAAUUUAUCUGAAUAAAAUCCAAUAAAAUAAACAUCAAAGAGAAUAUUUUGCUUAAGUUUCUCCCCACAGAAGUCCAUAUUUCCCCCCAAAAUUUAGAAUUUCACAUUUCCACAAGGAAGAAUUGUGAACAGUUUAGAUGAAUCAAACAAAACCAACAGAAUUAAAACCAGAAAGUUAAGAAGAAAAUGAUUUUUGGUAAAUUUCACUAUUUUCACCAUAAAAAAAAAAUCUACAUUUUACAAAACAAUUCAAAAUUUUAAUAUUUUGUGAGGAAGAAUUGUGAACAGUGCUUCAAUGAAACAAACAAAAACAUAAGUAAAAUCCAUCAGGAACUAAAGAAAACAAUUGUGUUGAGUUUUAGUUUUUACCCUACAAGUGCAUAUUUUCCCAAAAAUUUACAAUUUCAACAAUAUGACAUUACAACAUUCACAGAAUCAUAAAGUAUCUCAGCAUGCAUCAGGAUUCCUGACACAGACACCAUCUCACACCUCAACUACUGCAACACCUUGCUGAUAGGUUAAACACCAUGAACAUCCAAACACAUCACACCUUCACACCACCUUUUACUCCAAAUCUUAUGACACACUCAGCCACCUUUUUUUUUUUUCCUCUUGGAUUUCUUUUUACAGAGAGCAACGGACCCCAGACCCGGGGUCUAUAGUUGCACCCUAAACAUUGCUGGCAUUGCAUCCGAGGGCUCUCUGCAAGAUGGUGACCGCUCCUCUCCUCAAAACUGCCA